rnacentral:rRNA from 1 species
GAAGGCAUGCGGCGUGCUAUACAUGCAGUCGAGCGGACAGAAGGGAGCUUGCUCCCGGAUGUUAGCGGCGGACGGGUGAGUAACACGUGGGUAACCUGCCUGUAAGACUGGGAUAACUCCGGGAAACCGGAGCUAAUACCGGAUAGUUCCUUGAACCGCAUGGUUCAAGGAUGAAAGACGGUUUCGGCUGUCACUUACAGAUGGACCCGCGGCGCAUUAGCUAGUUGGUGAGGUAACGGCUCACCAAGGCAACGAUGCGUAGCCGACCUGAGAGGGUGAUCGGCCACACUGGGACUGAGACACGGCCCAGACUCCUACGGGAGGCAGCAGUAGGGAAUCUUCCGCAAUGGACGAAAGUCUGACGGAGCAACGCCGCGUGAGUGAUGAAGGUUUUCGGAUCGUAAAGCUCUGUUGUUAGGGAAGAACAAGUGCAAGAGUAACUGCUUGCACCUUGACGGUACCUAACCAGAAAGCCACGGCUAACUACGUGCCAGCAGCCGCGGUAAUACGUAGGUGGCAAGCGUUGUCCGGAAUUAUUGGGCGUAAAGGGCUCGCAGGCGGUUUCUUUAAGUCUGAUGUGAAAGCCCCCGGCUCAACCGGGGAGGGUCAUUGGAAACUGGGAAACUUGAGUGCAGAAGAGGAGAGUGGAAUUCCACGUGUAGCGGUGAAAUGCGUAGAGAUGUGGAGGAACACCAGUGGCGAAGGCGACUCUCUGGUCUGUAACUGACGCUGAGGAGCGAAAGCGUGGGGAGCGAACAGGAUUAGAUACCCUGGUAGUCCACGCCGUAAACGAUGAGUGCUAAGUGUUAGGGGGUUUCCGCCCCUUAGUGCUGCAGCUAACGCAUUAAGCACUCCGCCUGGGGAGUACGGUCGCAAGACUGAAACUCAAAGGAAUUGACGGGGGCCCGCACAAGCGGUGGAGCAUGUGGUUUAAUUUCGAAGCAACGCGAAGAACCUUACCAGGUCUUGACAUCCUCUGACAACCCUAGAAGAUAGGGCUUUCCCUUCGGGGACAGAGUGACAGGUGGUGCAUGGUUGUCGUCAGCUCGUGUCGUGAGAUGUUGGGUUAAGUCCCGCAACGAGCGCAACCCUUGAUCUUAGUUGCCAGCAUUCAGUUGGGCACUCUAAGGUGACUGCCGGUGACAAACCGGAGGAAGGUGGGGAUGACGUCAAAUCAUCAUGCCCCUUAUGACCUGGGCUACACACGUGCUACAAUGGACAGAACAAAGGGCUGCGAGACCGCAAGGUUUAGCCAAUCCCACAAAUCUGUUCUCAGUUCGGAUCGCAGUCUGCAACUCGACUGCGUGAAGCUGGAAUCGCUAGUAAUCGCGGAUCAGCAUGCCGCGGUGAAUACGUUCCCGGGCCUUGUACACACCGCCCGUCACACCACGAGAGUUUGCAACACCCGAAGUCGGUGAGGUAACCUUUAUGGAGCCAGCCGCCGAAGUGACCAAAGG